GUUUAGGGAAAGGUGCAACAGCUAUUUCCCAUUCUGUAAUGCAAAGGAGAAAUUGCUAACUGAUAAUGACACAUUCCUACUGAGCCAAGACUAAACUUUAAAAUUCUUUUUAGCAAAGCAUUCCAAACUGUCACAGCUAAUAGUCUGCAGUUGGCAUGUGGGAUGAAACUUGUACUCCGUCAUCAACUGAGUGUCGUCCUUCUUUUCUUGGCUCUCAUGGUGAAGAACAUGCACUUCUUUUACCUUUGGUUCACUGUCAUUGUUCUAAAAAUACCCUUUUACCAACAGGUAAAAAGCAAUGGAUUGAAUUUUUGCCUAAGCCUUAAUUAUAAAUCUUUUUUCUUCCAUUAAGAGUACAUAUUGAGUUUUUGAAAGCAUUGAAUCUGGUCCAUGUUUUAAUGAACAAUACAGAAAAUAAUUCUGAAUCCUGUGUAACUUGAUUUUGCUUAAAUAUUUUGAUGGUUCAUUGUAUAACAGUCUAUUUAUAGCUUCUCCAAACUCUCUUUUAUAAAACAAAUAUUGUGCUUCAUGUCCUAUUUUCACGUGUUAGUGCUUUAUGUCUAUCUGGCCUGCAACUAGAUAAAAAUAAAUUUUAAACAAUUCAGCAGUGAGUCUUCUUUUUUAACUGUGCUGGGAAAUUAGUUUGCAUUCAAAAAUAG
rnacentral:lncRNA from 1 species